GUACAGUGUGAAGGGCAUUCAAGCACACACUGGCUAACUUCUCACUCAGUCUGCGACACAAAGGAGGAAGAUUUCCUGGGCCAGAAAUCCGAGCAACAAUGCCAGAGCGCUGGUCUUCAUGCAAAAGAACGCAUCACUAAGUAUGGAGUUCCAGACGCCCAGGAGCAGCGAGCGAAGCAGAGCUUUGGCGCACGGGCUGGCUGCUAGCACUCCCCAGCCGUGCCCACGUUUACGGGUAGGAUGUACUCUAUGUUGUGGGCAUUCACUGAUACUGUGCCCCGAGACUGCUUUGUCAACUGUCCAACAUGCCACAUCUGUGAUGCAAUAUUUGAAGUCGCGCCCAAACACUAGGCGAAUCCUAUUUCUCUGCAAGAAGUGCUUGUAAAUCGAAAAGUCAUCACCCUCCUCAAGGAAGCAUGCCUUGUGGAAAUGGGAAUUGCAUCAAAGCUGGUUGAUCAGACUUCAAAGGAUGCUCUUGUUCUAAAGAUUCUUUUUCUAUUAUGAACUUUUUUUUUGGUCUCUUCAAGGGAAGAUGUGAGAGAAUUCUCUGAAUACUUCAAGCUGCAAACCCCUAGCUAACUUCAUUACCAUAUUGAUUAUUUCAUCAAGAAAUAUUCGAGGGAGAUUAAUUUCCCUGCAUAACGUCCUCAGUUCUCCUUCAGUUUUCACGUGAUGGCAUAACCCUCGCCUCCUCUCCUCCUGCCCCUCUUGUACUUUUUCAAACUGCAGGAAUGAAUUGUAAAAAGGAAGGUCCUCGUUGCCUCCCUCUCUUUCCCCCCUAACGCUUUCCUUCCCCCCUCCGUAAGAAUUAAAAGUGAUAUUUCUUUUGACAGCUGGUAACUAAUCCCACCUUAGCAGGAAAGAGAACAGGAAGCCAGCAAAGGAAUUUUCCAUUCCUAUGUCUCUUUUAAUUUUUUUCCACAUCAGGUACUUUUCAAAACCUAGACAUUUGCAGUGAGCCUGUAUGUCUUCUUGUUUUGUCUACUAGAGCCACGUGUUCCGAGCUUCUCCUGUGCUGGCCGAGGACAAACCUGACUGAGCUGGUGUUUGUCUUUGGAGGAGGGAGAAUUUGAGAACUUUCGAGUCUCCAAAGGGAACAUAACUGAAAUGUGAUGCCUUUGCUUAUGCAAACGGGAUUUUUCCUGUUGUAAAGAUAAAGUUCACACAGCUAGUCCCUCAAACCGCAAGUCAAAAUGCUUCAUACUGUAAGGAGAACGACAGCUCUGACUCUUAUAAAAUAAGUUUCUGCUCAACCAUCUUUUGCCCGGCAGACAGCUUGGCUUCCUGCCUCCUCCCCUCUCUCCUUUCCUUCAUUUCUUCCUUUCUUUUCUGUUUAAAUGCUAAAGGGCUCUGUGUAGUUUAUGUUCUGAGUCUUCCAGAGUGUACAGGAUAAGAAGUUAGGGGGGAAAGGAAAAAAAAUAAUCAGCUUGAAUGUGUUUCCUCAAGGAGCAAUCCACUUUAGCAUUUUCAUAACAUAAGCACACUAUUUCAAUAAAUGAUUUUUUUAAAUGAUGAAAUUAUAGUUUCCAAACAAAAUGGGAAUGACAUGCAUCUAUGUCAGUGGGUGUCAUUUCAAAUGAAGUAAUUUAAUUAAGAUGAUGUCUACAGCGACAUACUAGAUUCUGUGUAAGUAACUAAAAACACAGCUCUAAAACUGAAGUCGACUCUUCUCUGAAGUUGACUCUUCUCUGAAGUUUUCCAACUGUAUAUUUUUACUGUGGCAAUAAUGAUUAGAAUCUAAAUAAAAGGAACAAGAAACACUCACUGAGUGGAUACUGGCAGCAGGUCCCGUUUUAGACACUUUUCAUGUAUCACCCCUUUACUUUUCUCACUUAACCAACAGGGAAGCGGAGUCAGGCCCAGGCAUCUCCUGCUGUCUGCUCAAGGCCCCACGACUAAGAGAUAGAGGCCCCGGGAUAUGAAUCCAGGCAGUUGGGCUACAGGACCAGAGCUCGUAACCCCUUGUUUUUGCCUAAGUAUUGAACGAGCAAACCUUUCCUUGGUCUAACAAAUAUACUGUCUUGAUUAGAUAUCAGCUACGAGCCCCCAUUCCCCAGACCGAGUCUCACCGGCCCCCAGAGGAAAGCGAAAUUCAUCUCAAAUUAUGGCAACGGCACAGCAAUGCUUGCAUCUCUAGUUCCAAAACAACAUCAGCUGAGGACAGGGCUGGGCACAGCUGAAUCACAACGAAAGUCUCAAAAUGUGAAGCUGAGGCUGUGCUUCUUUUCUGGCAGAUUUAAAGCUCAGCGUAAAGCAAGUCUACCAAGUGAAUUUAUUUCUUGGUGUUAAUUUUCUGUAUGGUUGUUCAGUAUGUGUUGAGGGUGUUUGCUUAACUCAGAAUGAUUCUUAUUUUUUGGAAACUUCCCGACUCUGCCUCAGGUAUUCACAGCUCCACAGUGUCCCUGCCUGAGUUCUAGACUUUCCAGUGGAUCUCAUGUGAAGAUCACCACCAUCUUCUCCUAGAUCCUUUCAGACUCUGAUUGCAUCUUAUUCCUGUGAUAAAGUCCCCUCUCUGCCUAUUUUAUUUAUUUACUUGUUUAAAUAAUCUCAAGUUCCUAGGACUUUUGGAUCACUCACAUAGCAAACAAUGAACACCACUAAAUCACAGCAACUCCUUGAACUUUUUCUCUAAAUCUGACAUAUGCUAUAUAGCAAAGCAGACAGAAAAUUCGGAUUUUUGCUUUUUUCUAGAAGUGACAGAAAAGCAGAGAAGAAUGGGGAGAUGGAAGAAGGAGGAAAAAGGAUAAGGCAGAAGUGAAGGAGGAAAGGAUCUUCAUCUUUUAUAAAAUUUAGGCAUAUAUAUGUACACACAUACACACACACACACACCCCUCUUCAGAAUUUGAUUAAACACACAUUGACUGAGCAGCUGUAUAUUACAAAGAAUGUGCUGAACACCGUAGUUAUAAACUUGAGUAAGCUCUAGUCCCCUGCCUGCAUUCAGGGAGUUAUUAGUCUAGUACAGCAAUAUAAAAAAUUUUUUUUAAUUGCUGGAUUUUAGGUAAUCUGAAUGCUUAAAAGAAGCACAAGCCAUUGUCACGGAAGCAAAGUAAAGACAAUUCUAUCUAUUGGUGGAGAUCAGAAAAAGUUGCUUGCAAGUGAUGAUUUCACAAUGAACCAAUUGUUGGACCAACUGACAUCUUUCCAAGUCCAACAACCCCCAUUUCCCGGCUCUCAGAUGUCUGCCUGUGAUCUCUCAACAAACACAGUGCAUUCUUUCCCGGGUGUGUUUGCCCUAACAAACUAAUAGCCUUAGGUAACGCCUAAUCUUACAAUAGCCCAGGCUGGCUUUUUUCAGCCCACCUUAUCAGAGUCAUUCACGGACCCUAAACCUCGUACCUCAUCUACAACCAAUCAGAGACUUGUGCACAAGCCAAUCAGGUACCUUGUGACCCGACCUGAUAAAACACCCCCACAACCGGCCCUUGGGGCUCACGCAGGCUCCUCUCGCCCGUGUGGCCUGCUGUUGUCUACGACAGUGUACCCCUAAUAAACUCCUUUUUAUUUCUAUACUUUACCUCUGGUAAAUUCUUUUACCAACCCCCUGUCACUGUCACUUGGCCGUCACAUUGUGUCCCACAACACCCAAGAAGUGGAGAAGGUUAUGAAUGUAUUCCGAACCCAAAGAGAAGCAUGCACAAAGACAGAAGGGAGAAACUACUGGAGAAACAAUAAUGUUGCAGGUUGACUGUGGCUUGGGGGCACCUGUCAUGAAGCAAAGACUGAACAGUGAUGAGAUCCAGAUCCUGGGAGAACUUCACCAUCAGAUGAGGACACUGUACUUGAUUUAGCGGGGAGCCACGGGAGGCAGGGGUUAGAAAUGUGAAUCUGGCCCACCUGCAGCACAGUUUAAGUGGGUAAAGACAGUCAAUGCGGGAAGGGUAGAAAAAAGGGGGGAUAAAAAGGAGUAGUUCAUGACGAGUGUUGAUGUUAGCGGGCAGAGGGAGGAUGAGACCGACUUAAAUGAAUAAAACAACUUUAUCUUAUUUAGCAGCUGAUAGAACUAAGCAAUCGGAGAGAAAGAAGUCAAAGAUUAUUCCAAGUGUUCAUGAUCUGAGUGUGUGAGAGGAAUUUUUCUGAAGAUUCUUCGCUUCUGAAUGAGAAGACUAUUCUCCACGGCAUCAGCUAAGUACAAGCAGUCAACUGUAUGGGCAACACCACCAGAAAAGUCAGGAAACUGGAUUUCACUUCUUGACUGAGAACCAACCAGAAGUGUGAUCUUUGUCAAGACACUGCAUUUCUUUGGAUCUUUGUUUUCUAGUAUGCAAAGCAGAAAGUUGGAUAAUCUCUGUUAUCUCUUCUAGGUAUCAUGAACGAAGAACAAAAGAGCGCUGUUCACCACCCAGUUCUAAAGGGUGAAGUGAUAACUCACUCCACUCACCCACCAACAAUGCACCUUGAGAGGAACUCAGGAUGGAAAACAAGGUCGGACGCUCUGUGCUUUAGAUCAACAGGCCCUCAGACAGUUACGUGCACAUCUCAGGAAGAAGUUCAAUGACCCCAGAUCCCUGCAGCUUCUCAAGAAAAGCGCUGACACCAUCAGCUGAAGAUUUCUGCUCUUUGUGAUUAGCAGUAAUCUUUUACCAAGAGGUAUGCUUGAUUGCAUGCCUUUCCCAGCCAAAAAAAAAAUCAUAUAUAAACGGGCUUCCCCCUACCUCUUUGGAGCAGUUUCUCCAGAGCUAACCAGGCAGCCGUUUCCUGGGCUAUAGUCCUCAGUAACUCCCUGAAUAAAACUGAAACGCACAACUCUCAGGUUGUGCAUUUUCCUUUAAGUCAACAGUAUAUAACUUUGUUGUUCUAUCUGUCCAUAUUAUAAUGAGAUGUAACGGGGAUUAUGUCUUUUUCGCUCUACACUGCAUACCCCAUGCCUAACACAGUCCCUGGCCAUGAUGUGUCCAAUAAACAGAUGUUUAAUGAUUGAAUGAAUGAGUCAAUGAAUGAAUCAUUAGAAGAUUGUGAUUUAUAUCAAGGCAAAAGGACUGAUUAGUUCAGUUCAAAAAAAGUCAAAGUAGCCAUUUGAAAGUUUUAGCAUAAAGGGCUGAGUUGGAUUUAUGGAGACACAAUCUGUUUGACACUAAAAAUUAUAGUUCUGCUUUACAAAGUCUUAUAAUCAUAAAAGUUAUCUGCUAUCGCUCACAGGUAAAUGUUCCCAGCAAAUAUUAGUCUUCCAAAUGGAAGAUUUCUCUAUGUUUUUGUAUGUUAUUUCCAUUGCAUACAUAUAGGUUGGACAUACUGCACCGUAUAAAAUAUAGAUCAAGUUAAGGCUGAAAUGGAAGGAGUUACUGUGAGGUUUCAUAGGACUGGAAAUCUUGUAUUUAGCUGUGGAUUUGUGUAGUGCUGUGUAAAGACAACAUAUAUCUUGAAGUGUUCUUUUUUCUGUAAUAUAUUGACUAACUAUAUUUAUAAUGUUCAGUUGUUUCAAUACUUUGUAAACCACAAGUCAGCUUAGAAAGCAACAUAUUCCACAUUUCAACUAUUUACUUUGAUUUAUAUACAUAAGGGUAAAGAAUGAAAGAGCCAAUAUUUAGCAGAAUUGUAUAGACAAACCUUUGCAUACAGUUAGUUAUUCUAGAGAGCUCAUUUGGCAUUAAUAAUUUUACUUAUCCUGAUCUAUGCAUUUCAAAAAGUUUUCUAAGUACCAAUAUAUACUCUCUCUCUCACAUAUACACAUAUACACACACAUAUUACCAAAUUCCUGAAUAUUUAAUACUAUGUAAUCAAGAUACCCAGGUGAUAGAUUAUUUAUUUUUAAUAAAGAUGUUUGAACAUUAUAUCUAAUGGAUUUUGUACUACCUCACUGCAAUCCUUAACCCACUACCAUUUUUUCUUUUUUAAAAGUUAAUAAUAUAAUGAAUUAGACAUGCAAAAAA